ACAAGAAUUCAAAAUAAAUAAACAAAUUACACAAAUAAAAAAUUACAUAAUAGCCCUUAAAAAUUCAGGAAACUGCUAGGAAGGCUUCUGGACCACCAAAAACACUGGCUGCACGUCUUCUCCACGCGCCGCCAAGAGGAAGAAACUGGAAACGAUGGGAUCUGGCUCAGCCUCUUCUCCCUUUCCUUUCCUCGCCGGCGGUGACCUACAAGAACAACCAAAAACGCAACAAAGCAGUCGAGUUUAGUUUUCUUUUCUCCUUCUCAGAUCUCGUUCAUUCAGGUCUUUUGGAUCUGCUUCACAGCAAAUCGGUCUCCUCUGGCCAUCCUUUUCUUCUCCUUUGUUCCAUGUGCUGCGCGGCAAGGAGGAGGAACAGACGAGAGAGUGGUGUCGCUGCUGGAGGCAGUGAGCUGGGUCUGCUGGCCUGUGGGUUGCUACUGUUUGCGACUGCUGAAGUGGUCGACGGUGACGACGGGGUCUGUAAGCUACUGGAUCUCCAGUGAUGGCAGCGCUGUUAUGGCUGUUGUUUUGGCCGCUGUUACUGGAGGCCGAAUGGAGGGAGGACCUGGUUCGGUCGCUGAUGGAGAAGAAGAAAAGGGAAAUCGGGGCAGGUUUUUGGUUUGUUUUGGGGCUGAGGGGAAGGAGAAGCUUUGUCAAGUCAAAAAGGGCUGUUUUAGGAGCAAAAAUUGCAGGCCAAAGGGGAGGGUGAGUGGCCGCUGGAGAAAAGAAAAGAGAG